rnacentral:rRNA from 1 species
CCGUACACAAAAAUGCACAUAUUGUGAGCUCGAUGAGUAGGGCGGGACACGUGGUAUCCUGUCUGAAUAUGGGGGGCCCAUCCUCCAAGGCUAAAUACUCCUGACUGACCGAUAGUGAACCAGUACCGUGAGGGAAAGGCGAAAAGAACCCCGGCGAGGGGAGUGAAAAAGAACCUGAAACCGUGUACGUACAAGCAGUGGGAGCACGCUUAGGCGUGUGACUGCGUACCUUUUGUAUAAUGGGUCAGCGACUUAUAUUCUGUAGCAAGGUUAACCGAAUAGGGGAGCCGAAGGGAAACCGAGUCUUAACUGGGCGUUAAGUUGCAGGGUAUAGACCCGAAACCCGGUGAUCUAGCCAUGGGCAGGUUGAAGGUUGGGUAACACUAACUGGAGGACCGAACCGACUAAUGUUGAAAAAUUAGCGGAUGACUUGUGGCUGGGGGUGAAAGGCCAAUCAAACCGGGAGAUAGCUGGUUCUCCCCGAAAGCUAUUUAGGUAGCGCCUCGUGAAUUCAUCUCCGGGGGUAGAGCACUGUUUCGGCAAGGGGGUCAUCCCGACUUACCAACCCGAUGCAAACUGCGAAUACCGGAGAAUGUUAUCACGGGAGACACACGGCGGGUGCUAACGUCCGUCGUGAAGAGGGAAACAACCCAGACCGCCAGCUAAGGUCCCAAAGUCAUGGUUAAGUGGGAAACGAUGUGGGAAGGCCCAGACAGCCAGGAUGUUGGCUUAGAAGCAGCCAUCAUUUAAAGAAAGCGUAAUAGCUCACUGGUCGAGUCGGCCUGCGCGGAAGAUGUAACGGGGCUAAACCAUGCACCGAAGCUGCGGCAGCGACGCUUAUGCGUUGUUGGGUA